rnacentral:rRNA from 2 species
AUGGCUCAGGAUGAACGCUGGCGGCGUGCCUAAUACAUGCAAGUCGAGCGAAUGGAUUGAGAGCUUGCUCUCAWGAAGUUAGCGGCGGACGGGUGAGUAACACGUGGGUAACCUGCCCAUAAGACUGGGAUAACUCCGGGAAACCGGGGCUAAUACCGGAUAAYAUUUUGAACUGCAUGGUUCGAAAUUGAAAGGCGGCUUCGGCUGUCACUUAUGGAUGGACCCGCGUCGCAUUAGCUAGUUGGUGAGGUAACGGCUCACCAAGGCAACGAUGCGUAGCCGACCUGAGAGGGUGAUCGGCCACACUGGGACUGAGACACGGCCCAGACUCCUACGGGAGGCAGCAGUAGGGAAUCUUCCGCAAUGGACGAAAGUCUGACGGAGCAACGCCGCGUGAGUGAUGAAGGCUUUCGGGUCGUAAAACUCUGUUGUUAGGGAAGAACAAGUGCUAGUUGAAUAAGCUGGCACCUGACGGUACCU